rnacentral:hammerhead_ribozyme from 1 species
AUCCAGCUGACGAGUCCCGAAGAGGACGAAACGUGCUUGCUGAAU